rnacentral:rRNA from 1 species
UGGGGAAUCUUGGACAAUGGGGGCAACCCUGAUCCAGCCAUGCCGCGUGGGUGAAGAAGGCCUUAGGGUUGUAAAGCCCUUUCAGUCGUGACGAUGAUGACGGUAGCGACAGAAGAAGCCCCGGCUAACUCCGUGCCAGCAGCCGCGGUAAUACGGAGGGGGCAAGCGUUGUUCGGAUUUACUGGGCGUAAAGGGCGCGUAGGCGGCACGUUAAGUCGACUGUGAAAGCCCAUGGCUCAACCAUGGAAGUGCAGUCGAUACUGGCAUGCUAGAGUCCCGGAGAGGGUGGUGGAAUUCCCAGUGUAGAGGUGAAAUUCGUAGAUAUUGGGAGGAACACCAGUGGCGAAGGCGACCACCUGGACGGGUACUGACGCUGAGACGCGAAAGCGUGGGGAGCAAACAGGAUUAGAUACCCCCGUAGUCC